GAAAAAAAGUGUACAGGUAUGUACAAUCUUUUAAAUUUUUGUGUUACCUGAAUACUUUCAAAAAAGUGUGCAGGUAUGUUGUAAACAACGUUACUACUACAGCCACUCUGUCUCUGUCCUUCGCAGCGACAACCUACCUCUUCUUCUCUCCUAGUCUCCUUGCUAGUAGUAGUAAUAGUAGCUUCUCAAAACGAUUCAUUUCAUUUUAUGUGCUUCCUUAUCUUCUUUCUUGCUUCACACCACAAAUCCUAGAGCUGUUCUCAAUGAACAAACGCCAAUUGUCCAACAACAACCAAACGACGUCGUUUCCGUCCCGGAAGAACAACCACUCAAGCUACGAAAUACAAACGAACUCUACGUCUGUAACCUUCCUAGAACCUAUGACACCCAACAACUACUCAAUAUGUUUACUCCUCACGGAACCGUUUAAUCUGCACAGGUUUGCAGGAAUGUGGAGACAGGUGAGAGUAAGGGGAAUGCUUAUGUCAAGAUGGGAUCUUAUAAUGCUGCU